GGGCAGGAUAUUGUAGUGGGUGUUCGACUCCAAACCUGAAAGGUUCUGGGUUCAAUCCCCAGUGUCCGCCUA